rnacentral:misc_RNA from 1 species
CUANCCAUGGGAAACGAACGGGAAAACAGGGGCAACUCUGUGAGUACAGUGUUUCCACCGGUGAGUAACACGUGACUACCUACCUUCGAGUGGGGGAUAACCCCGGGAAACCGGGGCUAAUACCGCAUAACAUCGCGAGAUCAAAGAAGCAAUUCGCUGGAAGAGGGGGUCGCGGCUGAUUAGCUAGUUGGUACGGCAAUGGCCUACCAAGGCGAUGAUCGGUAGCCGGCCUGAGAGGGCGCACGGCCACACUGGAACUGAAACACGGUCCAGACUCCUACGGGAGGCAGCAUUGGG